CCCUCUCUUUUUUUUUUUCUGUUUUCAUGCAGAUAUGAAAGCGGUCGUGGCGCUGCUGGCAGCCUGCUGCCUAGCAGCCUGCUGUGAUGCGGGACACAUCAUUCCGUGGCUACACAUCAGCAAGAGCAUAUUUAUCAAGCCCGUCAAAUACGUGUACAAGGAGAUUCCAAUCUACAAGACCAUCCCGGUGUACAAGACCAUCCCCGUGUACAAAACCAUUCCCGUGGUGAAAGAGAUCAAGGUGGUCAAGGAGGUCCACAAGGACGAGUGGCAGGACGAGCACAAGGACGAGUGGCAGGACGAGCACCCCACAUACUCCGACGGCUGGAAGGGCCAGUCGGGAGGCGGAGGCGGCUGGGCCUCGCCCGGAGGUUGGGAGUCCUCCGGUCCGUGGGAGUCAAAGCCCUGGGAGUCUAAGCCGUGGGACUCUGGACUCCACGAGGUGACGGAACACCACGUGCACGAGUUGACGGAGCAUCACGUGCACGAGGAGCCGGAGCACCACGAUCACAAGAAGCCGGAGCACCACGGGCACGACGACCAUCAUGGGCACGACGACCAUCAUGGGCACGACGACCAUCAUGGGCACGACGACCAUCAUGGGCACGAGGAGCACCACGUAGUCAAGCACGUCUCACUGCGAGACCUGCUGCCCAAGUGGAUCAGCCUCACCAUCGGGGUCCACAAGGACUGAGGAACCCGUGUCUCGCAUCUCGCAAUCCAGUCAGAACCUUCUGGCAGCUCUAUAGGCCACGACCAGCCUUUCAGAUACGCCUGGAAGGAUUCUAGACGCAGUCAAGUGACACCUAGACAUGGACGCGCCUCAACAGUGCAGGAGGAGUGGCACCUCCGGAAACCGGAGACCAAAGAUGGGAGGACCUCGAGUCGCGACCCACCUCGACGAGGCAGAUUUGAAGUUUGAAGUUUUCGCAGUGGUGUUUGCACGGUGUGCCCUGAAACUGUAGGGUGUCUACCAGACGUCCGGAGUCGACACGGCCAAAUAGAGACUCGGAACAAAACUCGACUCCGCGGCGUAAAGCCGCGCACGCCAGCCGCAUCCAGUCACAAAGGACCCCGAGUCGCAUCAGAGGACUGCGAACCGAUGACAACUUAUUCAUAACAGCCAAAUGUUGAUUCAGCGUUUUAGUCUAUGUGUCGUGUUAACGUUGAGUCUUGCGUCGAAACUUCCUUUCUUUUCGCGUUACGUAUAAAAGACGCACACGCUGCCAAAUCCUGCUAAAAGAUGGCCAGACACCAGGACACAGUGAGGAAGAAAUGGUAACCUCGACAUACGUCGCUGAGAAGCAAGGGCUCACGCUAGAGACGACUUCAAGUACUUCAAGUGGCCAGCCGAAGCUUCGCAAACACUGAAUGUAGACAUUUCGCAAAUGAAAGUGACAGCGAAUAAGGUCGCCUCGUACAGUAGGAAAACGGUUGUAAGUGAGGAACAGGUGACGUCACUUAAGCUAUUUGUUUUGUGACACAC
rnacentral:misc_RNA from 1 species